rnacentral:rRNA from 1 species
AACGAACGCUGGCGGCAUGCCUAACACAUGCAAGUCGAACGAGACCUUCGGGUCUAGUGGCGCACGGGUGCGUAACGCGUGGGAACCUGCCCUUAGGUUCGGAAUAACUCCCCGAAAGGGGUGCUAAUACCGGAUAAUGUCUUCGGACCAAAGAUUUAUCGCCUUUGGAUGGGCCCGCGUUGGAUUAGCUAGUUGGUAGGGUAAAAGCCUACCAAGGCGACGAUCCAUAGCUGGUCUGAGAGGAUGAUCAGCCACACUGGGACUGAGACACGGCCCAGACUCCUACGGGAGGCAGCAGUGGGGAGUAUUGGACAAUGGGCGAAAGACUGAUCCAGCAAUGCCGCGUGAGUGAUGAAGGCCUUAGGGUUGUAAAGCUCUUUUACCCGGGAUGAUAAUGACAGUACCGGGAGAAUAAGCUCCGGCUAACUCCGUG